rnacentral:lncRNA from 1 species
AGCAAUCAAACAUUCACAUAGCUGAAAUGAAAAGGACAUUCUAUCUCACAGAAACACAAAGAUCGGAGCUGAAAUCUGCAAGCAAAAGGCACUACGUAUGACAACCUAAACUUGUUGACUAGCUAUACAAGCAAAAUCACAAAGAACACUACAUACAAACCUACAUCAACAAACGAUCCAGGGGCAUAUAACCUACAGCCACAAACAAAAACACU